UACGGGGGGGCAAGCGUUGUUCGGAUUUACUGGGCGUAAAGGGCGCGUAGGCGGUCAGCACAAGUCAGUUGUGAAAUCUCCGGGCUUAACUCGGAAAGGUCAACUGAUACUGUGCGACUAGAGUGCAGAAGGGGCAACUGGAAUUCUCGGUGUAGCGGUGAAAUGCGUAGAUAUCGAGAGGAACACCUGCGGCGAAGGCGGCUCUCUGGAACGCAACUGACGCUGAGACGCGAAAGCGUGGGGAGCAAACAGG
rnacentral:rRNA from 1 species